rnacentral:misc_RNA from 1 species
GAAAUGCGAUAAUUAAUGUGAAUUGCAGAAUUCAGUGAAUCAUCGAGUCUUUGAACGCACAUUGCGCCCCCUGGUAUUCCGGGGGGCAUGCCUGUCCGAGCGUCAUUGCUGCCCUCAAGCACGGCUUGUGUGUUGGGCUUCCGUCCCUGGCAACGGGGACGGGCCCAAAAGGCAGUGGCGGCACCAUGUCUGGUCCUCGAGCGUAUGGGGCUUUGUCACCCGCUCCCGUAGGUCCAGCUGGCAGCUAGCCUCGCCACCAAUCUUUUUAACCAGGUUGACCUCGGAUCAGGUAGGGAUACCCGCUGAACUUAAGC